AUUGAACGCUGGCGGAAUGCUUUACACAUGCAAGUCGAGCGGCAGCGCGGUCUUCGGGCUGUCGGCGAGCGGCGAACGGGUGAGUAAUGCAUCGGAACAUGCCCAUUCGCGGUGGCUAACACUUCGAAAGAAGUGCUAAUACCGCAUACGUCCUGAGGGGGUAAGCGGGGGAUCGCAAGACCUUGCGCGAUUGGACUGGUCGAUGUCGGAUUAGCUAGUUGGCGGGGUAAAGGCCUACCAAGGCGACGAUCCGUAGCUGGUCUGAGAGGAUGAUCAGCCACACUGGAACUGAGACACGGCCCAGACUCCUACGGGAGGCAGCAGUGGGGAAUUUUGGACAAUGGGGGCAACCCUGAUCCAGCCAUUCCGCGUGAGUGAAGAAGGCCUUCGGGUUGUAAAGCUCUUUUGGCAGGAAAGAAAAGGUGCACUCUAAUAUAGUCCGCUUAUGACGGUACCUGAAGAAGAAGCACCGGCUAACUACGUG
rnacentral:rRNA from 1 species